AAUAGACUACCCCUGGUAGUCCACGCCGUAAACCGAUGGAUACUAGCUGUUUGAGCGCAAGUUUGAGUGGCUAAGCGAAAGUGAUAAGUAUCCCACCUGGGGGGGUACGGGCGCAAGCCUGAAACUCAAAGGAAUUGACGGGGGGCCCGCACAAGCGGUGGAGCAUGUGGUUUAAUUCGAUGAUACGCGAGGAACCUUACCAGGGCUUAAAUGUAGAUUGACGUAUUUGGAAACAGAUAUUUCUUCGGACAAUUUACAAGGUGCUGCAUGGUUGUCGUCAGCUCGUGCCGUGAGGUGUCAGGUUAAGUCCUAUAACGAGCGCAACCCCUGUUGUUAGUUGCCAGCGAGUAAUGUCGGGAACUCUAGCAAGACUGCCAGUAGUAAACUGUGAGGAAGGUGGGGAUGACGUCAAAUCAUCACGGCCCUUACGUCCUGGGCCACACACGUGCUACAAUGGCCGGUACAGAGAGCAGCCACUUAGCGAUAAGGAGCGAAUCUAUAAAGCCGGUCACAGUUCGGAUCGGAGU
rnacentral:rRNA from 1 species